rnacentral:lncRNA from 1 species
CAACAAGAAGCAAGAACACUUAAAGUAGAACACGAAGCGACACCUGCAAUUAGAAACCACCCAGACCAGCAUAGCUGAUAGCUUAGGCCUGCUUGAUUAUCGAGCUUAUCGAGAACGCGGAAAGAAGAACCGCACACACGAUAGGAUUUCCACACAUUUGCUCCCGACCGGUCCGCCCAAGCACCAUUAGACUGGGACCGUUGAAUCAACGCCAGGGCACAUCUCGGUUCAUGCCAUCGACCUGCACGAAUAUAGACAAAGGGUACGAGGAAAAACUAGAUCUUUGAGCUGCGUCAAACAAACCGCUGCUUCAAGGAGUUUGUACUCAUCCCAACAAUCUCAAAGAUCUACGUGCAGUCUCGUAAAAUAGGAUGGCAACUAUACCUGGAAAUGUAUACCGAGAGUGCCGGAACUGUAAACAAUACGGACUGCUGGAGAAUAUGAAGAAUUGCCCCGGCUGCAGCUGCUCGUAUCACGCAGCUUGCUUAGGAAUCGAAGAAAAAAUCUUCCACGAAGGUUGG